rnacentral:rRNA from 1 species
UACAGAGGUCUCAAGCGUUGUUCGGAUUCAUUGGGCGUAAAGGGUGCGUAGGUGGCCGGUUAAGUCUGACGUGAAAUCUCCGAGCCUAACUCGGAAACUGCAUCGGAAACUAUCCGGCUCGAGGGUUGGAGGGGGGACUGGAAUACUUGGUGUAGCAGUGAAAUGCGUAGAUAUCAAGUGGAACACCAGUGGCGAAGGCGAGUCCCUGGACAACUCCUGACACUGAGGCACGAAGGCCAGGGGAGCAAACGGG